UAAGGAAUAUUGGUCAAUGGACGCAAGUCUGAACCAGCCAUGCCGCGUGGAGGAUGAAGGUCCUCUGGAUUGUAAACUUCUUUUAUCUGGGACGAAACACUUCUUUUCUAAGAGGCUUGACGGUACCAGAUGAAUAAGCACCGGCUAACUCCGUGCCAGCAGCCGCGGUAAUACGGAGGGUGCAAGCGUUAUCCGGAUUCACUGGGUUUAAAGGUGCGUAGGUGGGUAUGUAAGUCAGUGUGAAAUCCCCGAGCUUAACUUGGGAACUGCCAUUGAUACUAUAUAUCUUGAAUGCCGUAGAGGUAAGCGGAAUAUGUCAUGUAGCGGUGAAAUGCUUAGAUAUGACAUGGAACACAAUUGCGAAGGCAGCUUACAUGCGGAUAUUGACACUGAGCACGAAAG
rnacentral:rRNA from 1 species